rnacentral:rRNA from 1 species
UACGUAGGGGGCAAGCGUUAAUCGGAAUUACUGGGCGUAAAGCGUACGCAGGCGGCUUUGCAAGACAGGUGUGAAAUCCCCGGGCCUAACCUGGGAACUGCAUUUGUGACUGCAUGGCUAGAGUUUGUCAGAGGGGGGUGGAAUUCCACGUGUAGCAGUGAAAUGCGUAGAUAUGUGGAGGAACACCGAUGGCGAAGGCAGCCCCCUGGGAUGUGACUGACGCUCAUGUACGAAAGCGUGGGGAGCAAACAGG